GAUGAACGCUGGCGGCGUGCCUAAUACAUGCAAGUUGAGCGAACAGACGAGGAGCUUGCUCCUUUGACGUUAGCGGCGGACGGGUGAGUAACACGUGGGUAACCUACCUAUAAGACUGGGAUAACUUCGGGAAACCGGAGCUAAUACCGGAUAAUAUUUCGAACCGCAUGGUUCGAUAGUGAAAGAUGGCUUUGCUAUCACUUAUAGAUGGACCUGCGCCGUAUUAGCUAGUUGGUAAGGUAACGGCUUACCAAGGCAACGAUACGUAGCCGACCUGAGAGGGUGAUCGGCCACACUGGAACUGAGACACGGUCCAGACUCCUACGGGAGGCGGCAGUAGGGAAUCUUCCGCAAUGGGCGAAAGCCUGACGGAGCAACGCCGCGUGAGUGAUGAAGGUCUUCGGAUCGUAAAACUCUGUUUUUAGGGAAGAACAAACGUGUAAGUAACUGUGCACGUCUUGACGGUACCUAAUCAGAAAGCCACGGCUAACUACGUG
rnacentral:rRNA from 1 species